AGAACGAACGCUGGCGGCAUGCCUAACACAUGCAAGUCGAACGAGACCUUCGGGUCUAGUGGCGCACGGGUGCGUAACGCGUGGGAAUCUGCCCUUGGGUUCGGAAUAACAGUUGGAAACGACUGCUAAUACCGGAUGAUGACGUUAAGUCCAAAGUAUUUAUCGCCCAGGGAUGAGCCCGCGUAGGAUUAGCUAGUUGGUGAAGGUAAAGGCUACACCGAAGGCGACGAUCCUUAGCUGGUCUAGAGAGGAUGAUCAGCCACACUGGGACUGAGACCACGGCCCAGACCUCCUACGGGAGCCGAGCCAGGUGGGGAAUAGUUAGGAACAAGUGGGACGAAAGCCUGAUCCGAAGACAAUCGACCG
rnacentral:rRNA from 1 species